rnacentral:rRNA from 1 species
UAAUACAUGCAAGUCGUACGCUUCUUUUUCCACCGGAGCUUGCUCCACCGGAAAAAGAAGAGUGGCGAACGGGUGAGUAACACGUGGGUAACCUGCCCAUCAGAAGGGGAUAACACUUGGAAACAGGUGCUAAUACCGUAUAACAAUCGAAACCGCAUGGUUUUGAUUUGAAAGGCGCUUUCGGGUGUCGCUGAUGGAUGGACCCGCGGUGCAUUAGCUAGUUGGUGAGGUAACGGCUCACCAAGGCCACGAUGCAUAGCCGACCUGAGAGGGUGAUCGGCCACAUUGGGACUGAGACACGGCCCAAACUCCUACGGGAGGCAGCAGUAGGGAAUCUUCGGCAAUGGACGAAAGUCUGACCGAGCAACGCCGCGUGAGUGAAGAAGGUUUUCGGAUCGUAAAACUCUGUUGUUAGAGAAGAACAAGGAUGAGAGUAACUGUUCAUCCCUUGACGGUAUCUAACCAGAAAGCCACGGCUAACUACGUGCCAGCAGCCGCGGUAAUACGUAGGUGGCAAGCGUUGUCCGGAUUUAUUGGGCGUAAAGCGAGCGCAGGCGGUUUCUUAAGUCUGAUGUGAAAGCCCCCGGCUCAACCGGGGAGGGUCAUUGGAAACUGGGAGACUUGAGUGCAGAAGAGGAGAGUGGAAUUCCAUGUGUAGCGGUGAAAUGCGUAGAUAUAUGGAGGAACACCAGUGGCGAAGGCGGCUCUCUGGUCUGUAACUGACGCUGAGGCUCGAAAGCGUGGGGAGCAAACAGGAUUAGAUACCCUGGUAGUCCACGCCGUAAACGAUGAGUGCUAAGUGUUGGAGGGUUUCCGCCCUUCAGUGCUGCAGCUAACGCAUUAAGCACUCCGCCUGGGGAGUACGACCGCAAGGUUGAAACUCAAAGGAAUUGACGGGGGCCCGCACAAGCGGUGGAGCAUGUGGUUUAAUUCGAAGCAACGCGAAGAACCUUACCAGGUCUUGACAUCCUUUGACCACUCUAGAGAUAGAGCUUCCCCUUCGGGGGCAAAGUGACAGGUGGUGCAUGGUUGUCGUCAGCUCGUGUCGUGAGAUGUUGGGUUAAGUCCCGCAACGAGCGCAACCCUUAUUGUUAGUUGCCAUCAUUCAGUUGGGCACUCUAGCAAGACUGCCGGUGACAAACCGGAGGAAGGUGGGGAUGACGUCAAAUCAUCAUGCCCCUUAUGACCUGGGCUACACACGUGCUACAAUGGGAAGUACAACGAGUCGCGAAGUCGCGAGGCUAAGCUAAUCUCUUAAAGCUUCUCUCAGUUCGGAUUGUAGGCUGCAACUCGCCUACAUGAAGCCGGAAUCGCUAGUAAUCGCGGAUCAGCACGCCGCGGUGAAUACGUUCCCGGGCCUUGUACACACCGCCCGUCACACCACGAGAGUUUGUAACACCCGAAGUCGGUGAGGUAACCUUUUGGAGCCAGCCGCCUAAGGUGGGAUAGAUGAUUGGGGUGAAGUCGUAA